rnacentral:rRNA from 1 species
ACGGAGGGUGCAAGCGUUGUUCGGAAUCACUGGGCGUAAAGCGCGUGUAGGCGGUUCGAUAAGUCGCGGGUGAAAGCCCGAGGCUUAACUUCGGGAGUGCAUUCGAAACUGUCGAGCUUGAGUACGGGAGAGGGAAGUGGAAUUCCUGGUGUAGAGGUGAAAUUCGUAGAUAUCAGGAGGAACACCGGUGGCGAAGGCGGCUUCCUGGACCGAUACUGACGCUGAGACGCGAAAGCGUGGGGAGCAAACAG